rnacentral:snRNA from 1 species
GUCCUUUUGAAGACAUUCGAUAAAAUUGAAACAAUACAAAGAAGAUGAACACGUGUUGCAUAAGGAUAAGGAUGACAUGAACAAAUUCAGAAAUAGUCUUGCUUUUU